GUAAUUAUGUUAGGAGAGAUUCUCAGUUUGAUCUAAUCCUGUCUAAACAGGCUGAAAGAAGUUAGUCACUCAGAAUUAUAUAAAAGGCUCCAUGGAGGCUUGCAAUGAUAAACAACAGACCCUGGAGUUUGGGGACAACACCAAGGUACUGCCAUACUUGAGGAAGAGAUGGCUUUUCUCAGCCAAUAUCGUACUGAAUAGGUAAAACCUGGAAGCAGUCCCUUUAAAAACUGGCACAAGACAAGGAUGUCCUCUCUCACCACUCCUAUUCAACAUAGUAUUGGAAGCUCUGGCCAGAGCAAUCAGCCAAUCUUUGCAGAUUAAGGUACUGCAAAAAUCAUGAGCAGAAGACUUUAUGCCAUUGAAUGCCAUUGAGACUGUCAAUGUAACUAAGGACAGCUGUUUGUUUUUUUUCUGCUUUUACAUGGGCCAGUAUCAACUAAAGAUUGUCAAUUUUUAAGACCUUACUUAAGGAUGCAAUGAUUAGUAAAGAAAAUUCAACAAU
rnacentral:lncRNA from 1 species